rnacentral:rRNA from 1 species
AGAGCGCAAGGGGAAUGCCUUGGCAUCAGGAGCCGACGAAGGACGUGACAAGCUGCGAUAAGCUUCGGGGAGGAGCAAAUAUCCGUUGAUCCGGAGAUUUCCGAAUGGGGAAACCCACCAGAGCAAUACUUUGGUAUCGUGCGUUGAACAAAAUAGGCGUACGAGGGGAACGCCCUGAACUGAAACAUCUAAGUAGGGGCAGGAAAAGACAUCAACCGAGAUUCCGCUAGUAGUGGCGAGCGAACGCGGAGGAGGCCAAACUCAGGGUCAUUGAUCCUGGGGGUUAGGACUUGCAUCAUGAUCGGAGGUAUCUAGUCGAACGGUUUGGGAAAGCCGACCAUAGAGAGUGAGAGUCUCGUAGACGAAAGAGAAGACCGACAGCGAGUAUCCAGAGUACCGCCGGACACGUGAAACCCGGUGGGAACAAGGGAGGACCACCUUCCAAGCCUAAAUACUACCUGAUGACCGAUAGUGGAGCAGUACCGUGAGGGAAAGGUGAAAAGUACCCCGAGAGGGGAGUGAAAGAGAACCUGAAACCUUGUGCUUACAAGCACUCAGAGCGCGUUAAAGCGUGAUGAGGUACCUUUUGUAGAAUGGUCCGGCGAGUUAUAGUAACGAGCAAGGUUAAGCUAUUCAGUAGCGGAGCCGAAGGGAAACCGAGUCUUAAUAGGGCGUUAAGUUCGUUGCCAUAGACCUGAAACCGGGUGACCUAUCCAUGUCCAGGCUGAAGAUCAGGUAAAACUGAUUGGAGGGCCGAACACACGUUCGUUGCAAUGACCGGUGAUGAGGUGUGGAUAGCGGAGAAAUUCCAAUCGAACCCGGAGAUAGCUGGUUCUCCCCGAAAUAGCUUUAGGGCUAGCGUUAUGGAGAAGAGUUAUACGAAGGUAGAGCACUGAAUGGGUGAGGGCCUCAUCUCGAGGUACUGAUCUCAAUCAAACUCCGAAUGUCGUAUAAUAUACAUAGCAGUAAGACUAUGGGUGAUAAGGUUCAUAGUCAAAAGGGAAACAGCCCAGACCGCCAGUUAAGGUCCCAAAAUUAUGCUAAGUGGGAAAGGAGGUGGAGUCGCAUAGACAACUAGGAGGUUGGCUUAGAAGCAGCCAUCCUUUAAAGAGUGCGUAAUAGCUCACUAGUCGAGUGAUUCUGCGCCGAAAAUGUAUCGGGGCUAAGCAUAAUACCGAAGCUGCGGGAUUAGACAAAGAGUCUAAUCGGUAGGGGAGCGUACUAAACGCGAAGAAGGUUGACCGGAAGGGCAGCUGGAGAGUUUAGCAGUGAGAAUGCCGGUGUGAGUAGCGAUAAGAUGGGUGAGAAUCCCAUCCGUCGGAAGCCUAAGGGUUCCAGGGGUAAGGCUCGUCCGCCCUGGGUAAGUCGGGACCUAAGGUGAGGCCGAAAGGCGUAGCCGAUGGAUAUCAGGUUGAUAAUCCUGGACCACCGUAGAGCUGAAGGAGUGACGGAGGAGGGAAGUUAGGAUGGACUGGUGGAAUAGUCUAAUGAAGCACAAAGAGGGAUACGUAGGAAAAGCCGCGUAUUGAAACCUUGAAGUGUAAACCGCAAGGCCUAAUGGACCACACUUCCAAGAAAAGCUUCUAGGAGUACUUUAUGGUGCCCGUACCGUAAACGGACACACGUAGGCGAGGAGAGAAUCCAAAGACGCGCGAGAUAAUUCUUGUUAAGGAACUCUGCAAAAUGACCCUGUAACUUCGGGAUAAAGGGGACUCUAGAGAUAGAGGCGCAGAAAAUAGGCCCAAGCGACUGUUUAACAAAAACAUAGGUUUCUGCUAAAGCGAAAGCUGAUGUAUAGGAGCUGACGCCUGCCCAGUGCUGGAAGGUUAAGAGGAGAUGUAAGUCGCAAGGCAAAGCAUUGAAUUGAAGCCCCAGUAAACGGCGGCCGUAACUAUAACGGUCCUAAGGUAGCGAAAUUCCUUGUCAGGUAAGUUCUGACCCGCACGAAUGGCGUAAUGAUUUGGGCACUGUCUCGACAGCCCGCCCGGCGAAAUUGUAGUACUGGUGAAGAUGCCAGUUACCCGCAACUAGACGGAAAGACCCCAUGGAGCUUUACUGCAGUUUAAUACUGGGAAUCGGUAAUUCAUGUACAGGAUAGGUGGGAGACUGAGAAGCACGGCCGUCAGGUCGUGUGGAGUCACCGGUGGGAUACCACUCUUGGAUUGCUGGUUUCCUAACCUGCGGCCCUGAAUCGGGUCGGGGGACACUGUUAGACGGGCAGUUUGACUGGGGCGGUCGCCUCCAAAAGAGUAACGGAGGCGCUCAAAGGUUCGUUCAGCACGGACGGAAAUCGUGCAUUGAGUGUAAACGCAUAAACGAGCCUAACUGCGAGACCGACGGGUCGAGCAGUAACGAAAGUUGGAGUUAGUGAUCCGGUGGUAUGUGAGUGGAAAUGCCAUCGCUCAACGGAUAAAAGCUACCCUGGGGAUAACAGGCUGAUCUCCCCCAAGCGUCCACAGCGACGGGGAGGUUUGGCACCUCGAUGUCGGCUCGUCGCAUCCUGGGGCUGUAUUCGGUCCCAAGGGUUUGGCUGUUCGCCAAUUAAAGCGGUACGCGAGCUGGGUUCAGAACGUCGUGAGACAGUUCGGUCCCUAU